rnacentral:misc_RNA from 1 species
ACACCUCAACUCUCAUGGCUUGCUGUGAUGAGCUUGGACUUUGGGGGUCUUGCUGGCCUGUGAUCAGCUCCUCUCAAAUGAAUUAGCCUGCCGGUGUUUGGUGGGAUCACAGGUGUGAUAACUAUCUACGCUUGUGGUUUUCCACCAGGUAACCCUCAGCAAUGGAGGUUCACUGGAGCUUAUAAACGUCCCUCCUCGGUGAGGACAGGUUUUGACC